rnacentral:rRNA from 1 species
CACGUAGUUAGCCGUGGCUUUCUGAUUAGGUACCGUCAAGAUGUGCACAGUUACUUACACAUUUGUUCUUCCCUAAUAACAGAGUUUUACGAGCCGAAACCCUUCAUCACUCACGCGGCGUUGCUCCGUCAGGCCUUCGCCCAUUGCGGAAGAUUCCCUACUGCUGCCUCCCGUAGGAGUCUGGACCGUGUCUCAGUUCCAGUGUGGCCGAUCACCCUCUCAGGUCGGCUACGUAUCGUCGCCUUGGUAAGCCGUUACCUUACCAACUAGCUAAUACGGCGCGGGUCCAUCUAUAAGUGAUAGCAAAACCAUCUUUCACUUUAGAACCAUGCGGUUCUAAAUGUUAUCCGGUAUUAGCUCCGGUUUCCCGAAGUUAUCCCAGUCUUAUAGGUAGGUUACCCACGUGUUACUCACCCGUCCGCCGCUAACUUCAAAGGAGCAAGCUCCUUAUCUGUUCGCUCGACUUGCAUGUAUUAGGCACGCCGCCAGCGUUCAUCCUGAGCCAGGAUCAAACUCU